rnacentral:rRNA from 1 species
UACAGAGGUCUCAAGCGUUGUUCGGAUUCAUUGGGCGUAAAGGGUGCGUAGGUGGCGCCAUAAGUCAGGUGUGAAAUCUCGGGGCUCAACCCCGAAACUGCAUUUGAUACUGUGGUGCUCGAGUACUGGAGAGGAGAUUGGAAUUUACGGUGUAGCAGUGAAAUGCGUAGAUAUCGUAAGGAAGACCAGUGGCGAAGGCGAAUCUCUGGACAGUUACUGACACUGAGGCACGAAGGCCAGGGGAGCAAACGGG